UAGUAGGAAAUGUCAACGGUAUGCAAUGC
rnacentral:piRNA from 1 species